rnacentral:rRNA from 1 species
UACGAAGGGGGCUAGCGUUGCUCGGAAUUACUGGGCGUAAAGCGCACGUAGGCGGAUUGCUAAGUCAGGGGUGAAAUCCUGGAGCUCAACUCCAGAACUGCCCUUGAUACUGGCGGUCUCGAGUCCGGGAGAGGUGAGUGGAACUGCGAGUGUAGAGGUGAAAUUCGUAGAUAUUCGCAAGAACACCAGUGGCGAAGGCGGCUCACUGGCCCGGUACUGACGCUGAGGUGCGAAAGCGUGGGGAGCAAACAGG